rnacentral:rRNA from 1 species
UACGGAAGGCAGCAGUGGGGAAUAUUGCACAAUGGGCGCAAGCCUGAUGCAGCCAUGCCGCGUGUAUGAAAAAGGCCUUCGGGUUGUAAAGUACUUUCAGUCGUGAGGAAGGUGUUAAGGUUAAUAACCUUAGCAAUUGACGUUAGCGACAGAAGAAGCACCGGCUAACUCCGUGCCAGUAGCCGCGGUAAUACGGAGGGUGCGAGCGUUAAUCGGAAUUACUGGGCGUAAAGGGCACGCAGGCGGUUAAUUAAGUUGGAUGUGAAAUCCCCGGGCUUAACCUGGGAAUGGCAUUCAAGACUGGUUAGCUAGAGUCUUGUAGAGGGGGUAGAAUUCCAUGUGUAGCGGUGAAAUGCGUAGAGAUGUGGAGGAAUACCGGUGGCGAAGGCGGCCCCUGGACAAAGACUGACGCUCAUGUGCGAAAGCUGGGGAGCAAACAGGGAUUAGAUACC